GUGCUCACUUUGGCAGCACAUAUACUAAUAUUAAAACUAUACAGAGAAGAUUACCAUAGCCCCUGAACAAGGAUGACAAGUAAAUUUGUGAAGCAUUCCAUAUUUUU